rnacentral:rRNA from 1 species
GGGCCCGCACAAGCGGUGGAGCAUGUGGUUUAAUUCGAUGAUACGCGAGGAACCUUACCAGGGCUUAAAUGUAGUGGGACAGGUCUAGAGAUAGACCCUUCUUCGGACUCAUUACAAGGUGCUGCAUGGUUGUCGUCAGCUCGUGCCGUGAGGUGUCAGGUUAAGUCCUAUAACGAGCGCAACCCCCUAUCGUUAGUUGCCAGCGAGUAAUGUCGGGAACUCUAACGAAACUGCCAGUGCAAACUGUGAGGAAGGUGGGGAUGACGUCAAAUCAUCACGGCCCUUACGUCCUGGGCUACACACGUGCUACAAUGGCCGGUACAGAGAGCAGCCACUUCGCAAGAAGGAGCGAAUCUAUUAAAACCCGGUCUC